CUGACGCUCAGGUGCGAAAGCGUGGGGAGCAACCAGGAUUAGAUACCCUGGUAGUCCACGCUGUAAACGAUGUCGAUUUGGAGGUUGUGCCCUUGAGGCGUGGCUUCCGGAGCUAACGCGUUAAAUCGACCGCCUGGGGAGUACGGCCGCAAGGUUAAAACUCAAAUAAUUGACGGGGGCCCGCCCAAGCGGUGGAGCAUGUGGUUUAAUUCGAUGCAACGCGAAGACCCUUACCUACUCUUGCCAUCCAGAGAACUUAGCAGAGAUGCUUUGGUGCCUUCGGGAACUCUGAGACAGGUGCUGCAUGGCUGUCGUCAGCUCGUGUUGUGAAAUGUUGGGUUAAGUCCCGCAACGAGCGCAACCCUUAUCCUUUGUUGCCAGCGGUUCGGCCGGAACCUCAAAGGAGACUGACAGUGAUAAACUGGAGGAAGGUGGGGAUGACGUCAAGUCAUCAUGGCCCUUACGAGUAGGGCUACACACGUGCUACAAUGGCAUAUACAAAGAGAAGCGACCUCGCGAGAGCAAGCGGACCUCAUAAAGUAUGUCGUAGUCCGGAUUGGAGUCUGCAACUCGACUCCAUGAAGUCGGAAUCG
rnacentral:rRNA from 1 species